UACGUAGGCAGCAAGCGUUGUUCGGAAUUACUGGGCGUAAAGAGUGUGUAGGCGGUGCUCUAAGUCUGUUGUGAAAUCUCCCGGCUUAACUGGGAGGGUGCGGCGGAAACUAGUGUGCUAGAGGGUGGGAGAGGUAAGCGGAAUUCCUGGUGUAGCGGUGAAAUGCGUAGAUAUCAGGAAGAACACCCGUGGCUAAGGCGGCUCUCUAGUACGGUACUGACGCUGAGACGCGAAAGCGUGGGGAGCGAACAGG
rnacentral:rRNA from 1 species